AGGGGGAGGGUGGCCGAACCCCCCGGGGCGUGCAAGGGUCGUGUUUUAUGGGCAAAAACACGUGGAUUUGAGUGGGAUCCAAGAGGUUGGCGCACGCCCCUAGGCAAGACGUAGCGGUUGGCUCAGUCGGAUGACGUUUCCCUGUAACCAUCACCGUAAACCGGUCCUUUAGUAUCCGUACGGGGAUCUGGGUCUGAGGUGUAUUGCAUGAGGUGUAGCACCAUGAAAUUGACGAUUUGAGCUCCGCCGCGCAACAACGUGUUUAUCCGGUGUCGUCCACGAUACUUGGGAGUCACUGGCCCGGUCUCGUAAACGUUCCCAGUCGGUAUGAUUCCCCAAAAAGGUGAUUGCCGCGUUACGUUUUUCGUGUUCCAUAUGGGCUACUUCUCCUCAGUCGCUCUGGGUGGUCAUCCAUGUUAACCACGGAUAAUGCGCUUAUCCGGUGUCGUCCACGAUACUUGGGAGUCACUGGCCCGGUCUCGUAAACGUUCCUAGUCGGUAUGAUUCCCCAAAAAGGUGAUUGCCGCGUUACGUUUUCGUGUUCCAUAUGGGCUACUUCUCCUCAGUCGCUCUGGGUGGUCAUCCGCGGUAGGCACAUUCCAUCGCCUCUAGUCCCUUCAGAGAAAUGUUGCCCCAUGACGGUAUCGUUAUUGGUGUAACACCCGCGCGCCGUGGACACUCAGGACGCCUUCGUGCAGGCCACUCCCCCGAGCUAUGCGUGGGGGGAGGCUUGGUUGGCUUGACCGAUGUGGAUACGCGAGCGGAUGAGUAGCUUUGGACCCGUGUCUGUUGUUAGAUCCCCCGUCCUCGUGCGGCCGACUAGCGACGCCGUGUCCCGUCAUUCGUGUGGCUUAUGUUACUGUUGCCUUUCAAGUGCUUG
rnacentral:misc_RNA from 1 species